CACCGCGGUUAUACGAGAGGCCCAAGUUGACAGGUAACGGCGUAAAGAGUGGUUAUGGAAAAUACAAAAUAAAGCCGAACACCUUCAGAACUGUUAUACGUUUCCGAAGAUAUGAAGCCCUACCACGAAAGUGGCUUUACCUCUCCUGACCCCACGAAAGCUGAGGAA
rnacentral:rRNA from 1 species